CCUACGGGAGGCAGCAGUGGGGAAUAUUGCACAAUGGGGGAAACCCUGAUGCAGCGACGCCGCGUGAGUGAAGAAGUAUCUCGGUACGUAAAGCUCUAUCAGCAGGGAAGAAAAUGACGGUACCUGACUCAGAAGCCCCGGCUAACUACGUGCCAGCAGCCGCGGUAAUACGUAGGGGGCAAGCGUUAUCCGGAUUUACUGGGUGUAAAGGGAGCGUAGACGGCAGCACAAGUCUGGAGUGAAAUCCCGGGGCCUAACCCCGGAACUGCUUUGGAAACUGUGCGGCUGGAGUGCAGGAGGGGUAAGCGGAAUGCCUAGUGUAGCGGUGAAAUGCGUAGAUAUUAGGAGGAACACCGGUGGCGAAGGCGGCUUACUGGACUGUAACUGACGUUGAGGCUCGAAAGCGUGGGGAGCAAACAGGAUUAGAUACCCCAGUAGUC
rnacentral:rRNA from 1 species